rnacentral:rRNA from 1 species
GAUGAACGCUGGCGGCGUGCCUAAUACAUGCAAGUCGAGCGAACGGACGAGAAGCGUUCUUUUCUGAUGUUAGCGGCGGACGGGUGAGUAAGACGUGGAUAACCAACCAAUAAGACUGGGAUAACUUCGGGAAACCGGAGCUAAUACUGGAUAAUAUUUCGAACCGCAUGGUUCAAAAGUGAAAGACGGUCUUGCUGUCACAUAUAGCUGGAGCCGCGUUGCAUUAGCUAGUUGGUAAGGUAACGGCUUACCAAGGCAACGAUGCAUAGCCGACCUGAGAGGGUGAUCAGCCACACUGGAACUGAGACACGGUCCAGACUCCUACGGGAGGCAGCAGUAGGGAAUCUUCCACAAUGGGCGAAAGCCUGACGGAGCAACGCCGCGUGAGUGAAGAAGGUCUUCGGGUCGUAAAGCUCUGUUGUUAGGAAAGAACAUAUGUGUAAGUAACUGCGCACGUCUUGACGGUACCUAAUCAGAAAGCCACGGCUAACUUCGUG